UACAGAGGGUGCGAGCGUUAAUCGGAAUUACUGGGCGUAAAGCGUGCGUAGACGGUUAUUUAAUGUCGGGUGUGAAAAGCCCCCGAGCUCAACCUGGGAACUGCGUCUGAUACUGGAUGGCUUGAAUCCGGGAGAGGGAUGCAGAAUUCCAGGUGUAGCGGUGAAAUGCGUAGAUAUCUGGAGGAAUACCGGUGGCGAAGGCGGCAUCCUGGACCGGCAUUGACGCUGAGGAGCGAAAGCCAGGGGAGCAAACAGG
rnacentral:rRNA from 1 species